rnacentral:lncRNA from 1 species
GGCCGAUGGAUCGGGGGGCGCAGCAUCUCCCCGGUCGACUGCGAAGGAGGGAAGGCGGCCGGGAAGGGGCUUCGGCCGGAACAGGAGGGAACCGGAGGCGGAGGAGGCCGGGAAGGGCCUCGGCGGAAAGCGGGGGAGACGAAGAGACCGGAGGAAGGGGAAGAUGGAGAGACACGGGCGAAGAAGGGGGCCGAAGUCUCUGGAAGCCCCCGGAAGAAGAAGAAAGAAAGAAAGAAAAAAAAAGGGGAGAAGGCCCUUAACGGGCUGCCUAGCGGGUCGGAUCCAAGUUCGGAUCCGAAACCCGUUAGGCCCAAAUAAAUGCAAAUAGGUUUGGGUGAGCCCAAUGAUCCAAGCCCAAUCGAAUUAAACGGGUCAAUUAAGCCUAAUUGAUGUUGGGUCUGAACCCGACCAAGCCUGAAUGAACCCAAAUUAAGCAAAUUGGGCUAAAUGGAACCCAAUUAAACUCAAUUCAGCUGGGUCCGAACCAUGUUCAUAACAGGUUGACCCCAGCAGGCCCAAUCAGCCCUAAAUCAAGCCCAUACCAGGCCCAAUUAAAUUGGCAGAAGGCCAAAUUGGCUAGGAAAAGUGGACUUAACCACAAAUCAGGCCCAACCUUUCCCUUAGAGGCCCAAUUAGGCCUGGUAGACUCAAAUUUACUUUAAUUGGGCUAAAAUUUAUGAUAAUGUGAGUCUUAUAAAUGGUUCCAGGAAUUAAAGACUCGUCGUCCGGAUCCAAGAAAUUUAAAUACUACUUAUUGUAAGUAACCUGUUCUAAUCCUGUUAUGGAUCAUGUCAUGUUAUUAAUGUUUCCUACGCAUUUAUUUUAAGUAUAUAUG